UCUUGGUUUCUUUCUCAGCCACCGCAUCCUUUUCCCAUCUUCAGCCCCAGUGCUCUCAAGAUCUGUUUGUGUUCUUGCUGCAAUUAAUUUUGCAUAUAUCUUCUUCUUUUUCCUUAAUUUUUUUCUUUUAGAUUUCUCUCCAUCGUUUUUAGUUUUGCUAUUCAGUGGCUGUAGAAUUCAUUCAUCUUCAACCUCAAAUUUCAUCCUUUGUAUCUCGCUUUAUCUCUCUUUUUCCCUUUUACCAGAAGCUUAAUAGUUUCCCAUUGUUGAUCUUUUCUUUUUUAGAGUCUAAAUGCUUUUUCAUCUCAACCCAAUACUGACUCGGAUCUGAUUGAUAAGCCUACUUAAGAAGAAGAAAAUUUUGGGUAUAGCCUCACAUUGCUUAAUAAAGUUUGGAGUUUUGUAUCUUCUCCAGUUCUCUUCCAAUGUUUCUUUUUCUUCAAUUUCAUCUCAUCUCUUUUGCUCUUUCGUGGUUCUGUCACGGUAAACUACUACUGAUUUUGUUUAUCUCUGUCUAAAUAACAAGAACGAGAUUUGAGUUUCUGCACCAUCUGCAGAAAGGCUUCAAUUGUUGGGUUUUAGCUCAGCUCUAUCUUGCAUUUAGUUUGAUUUGCAGGUAACAAAUUACUCAUAUUUUUAGCAUUCAUAGUAAGCUCGGUAAAGAAAUGCUCCUCCUAUGUUGAAGCUUUAGUUUUGGGCAAGGUAACAAUUGUUAGUUUUCUGGAGCAUUCUUUUUCUCAUUCUUUCACUCUUUUAUUAUUUUUGAUUUGACUUCUGUUGGUCUGACUUUUUGGGAAAAUGCUUUGUUGAUGGAUUUUAUCAAGAGCAUCAAGAAGAAGAGUGUAGGACAGCAAGAAAGAGACAACUUGGAGCUCUUCAUCAGAAACAAAGCUCAUGUAUACUUGACAAUAUGGCCGGUCAGUUCAACAUGUGGACAUGUUUCUUUAUAUGGUGAGAGCACAAAUAUCUUUUUAAAGAGGUAUGUCAGUUACAAGCAUAAUCUCCAAUAAUUUUUUGAGAUUUUCCCAAGAAGGGUCCGAAGUAUUGGUCUUAUUGGGUAUUGAUGUCGUCCUCUAUGACUAUGAUUGCCAACCUAUUUGGUAGCUUAAGAGACUGGUUUGAGCCUUGAAAGUUUUUUCACUAAAAUUGAGUUUACUUUAGUCUUAAUUUAUCUUAGAUAAUAUGUUGCAUAUGCAUUCUCAACAACUCGCACAUUCUCUUUGAACCUCAAAGACACCUUAUGGUGAAAGGUAUGCAAUUAAGCCACUUCUUGCUGCUAUUUCAGAAUGCGGUUGAAUCUACUUCUGCUUUCUAGAUGUUGCUGCUAUUAUCUUUCACUGUUAUGAUGUAAGUUUAGUUCAACUAGUUAUAAAUCAAACUCUGCAUUACUUUUAACUUCUAAGCUCCACAUGCAGGAUUACUGUCUUACUAUUUGUUUGUUUAGGAUACCACAUUUUUUCGAUUUCUUUUGCCUAACAGAUUUUGAAAGCAGAUUUGGCUACUUAAUUUUUGUGUUAAAGUUCACAAAAAGUACCAACAAAGAGAAUAAGGAAAAAACAAUAGCUUGAACUAUUGUGAUAGUUUUUCUUCAAGUACGACAAUUACAGACUAGAGUUCUAGGAAACAGUGAGAAGACUUCUUAUGUGUGAGGAUAUUUAGUUCUGAAAAUAGCUCUGUACAGUAUCUACCGGUUGAAAUAAUGAACAAAAGCUUCAGCUUUCUUGACAACAAAAUACAAGAAGUAACUCUAAAAUCAUAUGCUAAGUUGAAUAGUAUACUAAAUUCAAAACAUUAAGUUUAGACAAACAAUUGACUUCAUUCAAGAUUUGACAACAUGGAUUACUAAAAGAGCUGAUUUAGUUUAGUUAUAAAUUUUGCAAAGGUUCGCAUAGUAAUAUUUGGCAUGCUCUGCUACGUAUUAAUCUUUAGAAUUACUAAACCAAUUGGUAGUUGAAACGCUCCAACAUAGAGUUUAGCGAUCAUUUUGUCGGGUAGGCUGGCUUUUCUAUAUUUCUGCAUUAUACUUAUUUUUAUUAUUUAUCACUGAUGAUGUGCGUUGGUGCGAAUGAAUUAUAUAGUUAUACCUAUAAUUUACUUAUUAAAUUUGAGAAGAACAAGUAUGAUAUUUGUAUAGAGCCGCAGAGUCAUGUAUUUAACACCAUCUCCUACAAUUUCUCCUUCUGUGACGACCUGGCCAGUCGUCUCAUGAGUUGCCGCUCCGUUUUCCCAAUUUUUGCUUUCCUAUGCUUUAAUUAUCCAUGUUAUGUGGUAUCGGGUUGGUCGGAUCGAGUUCGAAAAGGAUUUGGCAAGGUUUGAGACACUUAGUCUCUUUAGAGUGAGUUUAAGUUGAAAAAGUCAACUGGAUGUUGACUUAUAUGAUAGAGGGCUUGGAUGUGAGUUCUCAUGGUUCGGUUAGCUUCGGGAGGUGAUUAUUGGCUUAGGAGUGUAAUCAUAAUGAAUUUUGGAGGUCCGUAGUAGAUUUAGGCUUGAAUGGCGAAGUUGAUAUUUUGGCGAUUUCCGGUUGAUAGGCAAGAUUUU